CGAGGUGUGGCGCAAUGGUAGCGCGCUUGCUUUGGGAGCAAGAUGCUGCAGGUUCAAAUCCUGUCACUUCGACCA
rnacentral:tRNA from 1 species